CAGUACGAGAGCCGCAAGCCGGUUUCAGCAAUAACGGCGCCAGCAGAAACAGCUGCAAACAACAACGCGUUUGCGCAACAGAGAUGAAGAGAGAAUCACUCACACACACGCACACAACCUGUAUGCUGCGCUCUUGCUCUAGCCUGCGGUCUGCUGCCCAGAGGCGUUGUUGUAUUUGUUGCCUACAAGCGGCUCCGAGCUUGAUAAGCCGCUGGCUGAGUCGGCUCGGCUCUCCCAAGAUUUUUCAAGAGCAGAAUGUUUCCAACUUUAAAAUCUAAAAGCAUGCAAAUACUAUUCCAACUGUAUUUCCACUAGACAAAAAAUUCCGCAAAUCAAUCAGAAUUUUUUUUGUGGUUAUCCCCCAUUUUCCAUUUUUUGUAAUCCUCUUGCAAAAAAGUGAAAGAGUAACUGCGUGCAUUUGUAUGUAUGAGCUUCUCUGUGCGUGUGCCUGGCGAGAGAGCAGUUUUUGUAACGGCAAACCAACUCCUAACAUCCAUUGCUCACACAUGGCAAUAAAUAAAUAAAUAGGCAUUUUGUUGUUGUGGGGGAAUAGCUGUUAUUUUAUUUAUUUGUUAUUCGUUGACUAAUCUGUGGUUAAACAAUUUACUAUUUCGAGCCAAAGUGACGCACAAAAGGAAAGACAGAAAGAACUAAACAGAACAUGCUGGGCGAUAAGCGAAGAAGCAGGCGAGAGGCAGAGAGAGAGACAGACACUGUGCCUCCCUCUCUCGCAUAAGCAUAAAAAGAAAACGACACACCACACUACUCACACAGCGGGCACGCACACACAGACGGUGUCAAUGUUUGGGCAACUGGUCAAAGGAGUGCCACCAACUGCGGCGGUGACGUCGCGCCCAGCCACAGCCCGACUCUCUGUAUUUCUUUCUCGCUCUCUGCUUGUCCACAGCCACUUUUGGGUUUGUUGUCGGCUUUUGUUUUUUGGAAGAAAUUAAAAUCGUUGCAACAAUUCCAUUAAAACAACUGAAACAAAUCACCAAAUUGCAUAGCAGUUUUUCAAGAUAAGGAUUAUAGAAUCCCAAAAUAAAUACGAACUGUAUGCGUGUGUAGUGUCGAUAAGACACCACCAAUGUGAGUCAGACUCAAGUAUAGAUCGAACGAUUUUUGGGAAGAUCUUGGAAUCGAGUGAUAACUUGAGCCCCAUGGGUCAAUGAUGACUCAUUAUCCACACGACUCCGAGUCCAGCCCACACAAAUGCACACACACUCCGAAGGAGAGCGUUAGACGCAGGGUUAAAGAGAGCGCCAAGCCUGAGGGUCGACAUGACUCGACAGUGCGGUGUGGGAGCGAGACAGAGCGUCCGGCCAGCUCAGUUUCAAUUCCAUGUUUUUCAGAUGAAUCAUCGACUGAAAACGUAAUGUACAACAAAAUACCACAAUAAAAAAAAAUUACUACGAGCAAACAAGCAAACAAAAUACCAGAGAAACACAAACGGCGUCAUCUAAAAUACACAAACGUUGAGCCGCAUUUUUUAUUUAUUUUUUGCUUAACAAUAGAAAAAGCUAAACGAGUUGAACGGUAAACAACAAAAAUAUAUAAACCAAACUGACGAAAAAAUUAUAAAUAAUUGAGAUGGGGAGACCCGUUUAGCGCACCACAAACAAGUGCGAGCGAGAUGCUGCUAGUGCUUGAUCAUCAUCAUCAUCAGCAGCAGCAGCGCCAGAAACCGUUGCUUGGGCGAGAGAACGAAGUCCAGCAGAAGAACAAGUCGCAGUCGAAGUCGGAGUCAGCACCAACAGCAGCAGCGCCAGUUACGUUUGAAAUUGCUGAGAUAGAAAGGCAAUGGGAAAGAAAUGAGAAAACAGAAGCAGAGCUUGAACCGCGCUCCAAAAACAACGGCCAGCAGCAGCCACCAUCAGCAGAGCUUGAGCCGCGAUCCGAAAGCAGCGAG